rnacentral:lncRNA from 1 species
UCUUGACCUCCGGCCAUUCUAAAAGAAAGACAAAAAUGACCCUAUAAGAGGCAAUAUUGGUUUAUAGGAAGGUAAUCCACAACCUAUAAAAUGCCUUAAGAAUUUCAAGAAGAGGGGUAAUCCACUCUCUCCAAGAAGAAUAAGACUCCAAUAUUAUAACAGAAGAAGUAUUAGUUUAGAGGAGGGUAAUCCGCAACCUCUAAAAAAUGCUAGUAUACCUUCAAGUAGAGGGGUAAUCCACACUCUACUAAGAAAGAACUAGCUCUGAUAUCUCAAGUUAGUGUAGUCUCAACAAACUGUCACGGACACAAAAUACAGACUUGAAAUCUAACAAGAAGUUCAAGAAGAAGUGGCAGAACUAGAUUAAACAGAUGAGUACAAGAACAACACCAGAAAGGUGAGCUAGAACUCCAAGAG